rnacentral:tRNA from 1 species
GGUGCAUUCGUAUAAUGGUUAGUAUGCUUGACUGUCUAUCAUGAGAUAGGGGUUCGAUUCCCCUAUGCACCGCCA